rnacentral:rRNA from 1 species
UCAGGACGAACGCUGGCGGCGUGCCUAACACAUGCAAGUCGAGCGAGGAGAUCCUUCGGGAUGAUCCUAGCGGCGGACGGGUGAGUAACACGUGGGCAACCUGCCUCAUAGAGAGGAAUAGCCUUCCGAAAGGGAGAUUAAUACCUCAUAACAUUGCAGUUUCGCAUGGAACAGCAAUUAAAGGAGCAAUCCACUAUGAGAUGGGCCCGCGGCGCAUUAGCUAGUUGGUGAGGUAACGGCUCACCAAGGCGACGAUGCGUAGCCGACCUGAGAGGGUGAUCGGCCACAUUGGGACUGAGACACGGCCCAGACUCCUACGGGAGGCAGCAGUGGGGAAUAUUGCACAAUGGGGGAAACCCUGAUGCAAGCAACGCCGCGUGAGUGAUGACGGCCUUCGGGUUGUAAAGCUCUGUCUUCAGGGACGAUAAUGACGGUACCUGAGGAGGAAGCCACGGCUAACUACGUGCCAGCCGCAGC